AAUCCAUAGGUUAAUGAGGCGAACCGGGGGAACUGAAACAUCUAAGUACCCCGAGGAAAAGAAAUCAACCGAGAUUCCCCCAGUAGCGGCGAGCGAACGGGGAGGAGCCCAGAGCCUGAAUCAGCAUGUGUGUUAGUGGAAGCGUCUGGAAAGGCGCGCGAUACAGGGUGACAGCCCCGUACACAAAAGCGCAUGUGCUGUGAGCUCGAUGAGUAGGGCGGGACACGUGGUAUCCUGUCUGAAUAUGGGGGGACCAUCCUCCAAGGCUAAAUACUCCUGACUGACCGAUAGUGAACCAGUACCGUGAGGGAAAGGCGAAAAGAACCCCGGCGAGGGGAGUGAAAAAGAACCUGAAACCGUGUACGUACAAGCAGUGGGAGCACCCUUUGGGUGUGACUGCGUACCUUUUGUAUAAUGGGUCAGCGACUUAUAUUCUGUAGCAAGGUUAACCGAAUAGGGGAGCCGGAGGGAAACCGAGUCUUAACCGGGCGUUAAGUUGCAGGGUAUAGACCCGAAACCCGGUGAUCUAGCCAUGGGCAGGUUGAAGGUUGGGUAACACUAACUGGAGGACCGAACCGACUAAUGUUGAAAAAUUAGCGGAUGACCUGUGGCUGGGGGUGAAAGGCCAAUCAAACCGGGAGAUAGCUGGUUCUCCCCGAAAGCUAUUUAGGUAGCGCCUCGUGAAUUCAUCUCCGGGGGUAGAGCACUGUUUCGGCUAGGGGGCCAUCCCGGCUUACCAACCCGAUGCAAACUGCGAAUACCGGAGAAUGUUAUCACGGGAGACACACGGCGGGUGCUAACGUCCGUCGUGAAGAGGGAAACAACCCAGACCGCCAGCUAAGGUCCCAAAGUCAUGGUUAAGUGGGAAACGAUGUGGGAAGGCCCAGACAGCCAGGAUGUUGGCUUAGAAGCAGCCAUCAUUUAAAGAAAGCGUAAUAGCUCACUGGUCGAGUCGGCCUGCGCGGAAGAUGUAACGGGGCUAAACCAUGCACCGAAGCUGCGGCAGCGACACUGUGUGUUGUUGGGUAGGGGAGCGUUCUG
rnacentral:rRNA from 3 species